GGGGCGGGGGACGGCUUUGCGCGGCGCACGCGGCGCGGCGGUCGCGGCGCGGGUGCAGAUCCCACCAAAGCUCGGCCUGCCCUCCCCACGCUGCUGGACAGCCCGGCUGGUCGAUUUUCUUGCUCCUGUUUGAAAUAUGCCUUAUAACGUUACAAGUUUUCAGAAGACCACUGUGUUUCACUGGGAUAAGGAAUAUUGCAUCUGCUUCAUAGCAGGAGGAUGUUGUAUGUGUUACAGCUUAACUUUGUUCUACUUUACACCUAGAUAAAGGAUGAAGACUGUCUGUACCAUUUUGAUUACCUCUUCUAGGGUUCAAAGAGAAUAAUUUCCCCUGACCUCCAUUUGCUAAUGGCUCAGCUUGAUCUAACUGGCACACAGAUAAACAUGCUGUUAAACAAAAGUUACAGUAGCAGGAAGCACCUCAAUGCCCCAGCCUCCUCUGCCCGUGUUGGCUCUCUGUGACCAGCCAAAAGCCGAGUGACGCAGUCCUGAGCGCUGCUCCCGAGGAGUUUGGGUGUGAAUGGACAGUGCUGCCACCCCUGAGAGAUGAGACAAAGGACCCUGCACCCCGACAGCUCAGCGAGCUCCAAAGAUGAGAGUCCUGCACACCGAGCUCAGUGCUCUGUCUCCAGAGUGAUCUUCGUUCCUGUUGAGCUCACCUCACUGCUGGUCACGAGUUUUGCUUUUGGGAUUUAGACCACCUCUUUUCCCCCCCGUUUUACACAAAGACUGUUAAUAGGACUGUUAGUGGAAUGAGCAAAGCCAAUACUCGCAGGGUUUAACUUUGCACCAAUAGCACCUUUUGCCCCAGAAUGCCUUACCAAUGCCCCCCAGCCCGCGUGUCCCAGCGUACGACUCGGCCUGACGUUUCCGCUGGCUUAGGCACCGCCUCAGCCUCCCGAGCUGACUUUUAGGGACAUUUCCGCACGUAGCAUCUCAUCCGAGAGUCAGACACCGCCUGGCUGCCGGGUCCGGGAGCUCUCCCCGUGAAUGUGCUCAGAGCUAAAGAGACCACGCGUGCACCCCGCGGGCCGAUGCCGUCCAGCUGAGCUGCGGGAGCGCCCGAGGGAUGGCUCAGGGAGGGGAGGCCGGCGCUCCUCCCGUGCGGCUCUGGGUGCGGCGCGUGGGGGUUUACUGCGAUGAGCACCGCAAAACCUGGCUCGUGGCUGCGGAAGAGGAGGAAGGUAUGCUGAGGGCUCGGAUCCAAAGAAUUCAGGUUCCCCUGGGUGAGGCGCUGCGACCCAGCCAGCUCCCCCCAUCCCGGCUGCCUCACAUGUGGCAGCUGUCCCAGGGUGAGCAGUACAGGGAUAGUAACUCUCGCGUUUGGGAGAUAGAGCACCAUCUCAUGCUUGAUGGUGUUGAAGAACUGCUGCUUAAACUCGUGCCUGGGGACUAAUCUGUUCCUGAACAUGUCCCGGAAGGAUCCCUGCCAGAAACAAGCCUGUGAAAUACAGAAAUGCUUGCAAGCGAACAACUACGUGGAGUCCAAGUGUGAAGCUGCGCUUCAGGAGAUGCGGAAAUGCUGCGCUCGGUACACCAAGG